UUUUGGUAGGUUCUAGUGUUGAAAAUUCAGCUUCUGUCGGAUUUUGUUUCCAAGGAGACGACGAGCGACGUGUUUUAAUAAAAUCGAGAGAUCUUGACGCGCGUCAUCACGACGCAAAUAUUUAUUGGACGUUAAUCGUGGAACGAGGCGAGGGAGGAUCCCCUUGGAUUGAGAAAGAACCAACACCCAGAGGAUCGGUGGAGAAACGUGACGAUCGUUACGCUGAAGGCGCGAUACUUUCCCGUGACGUAACUGAAAGAAGAUAUAAGAUAGUAACCUAACUGAAGUAUGUAUAUACAUAUACAGCAGAACGAGAAGUGAUAUCAGACAGUAGUUGGUCAGACAACGCCUAUGUUCUGGUUAAUACUAAUUACUUGUUUCAAAUUCUCGAUUCAAUUACUAUCGGGGUAAUUACGUAAAAGUAUAUGUGAGUAUACUAACAAUACGUAUCUAAUAAUAGAUGUCGUAAAACGAUUAUUUACUCGCGUUUUCCUCCAGCUGAUUGCGAGGAAUUGAACAGGGAGGCGACAAGAAGUCGCGAGGAAUUGAAGAUGUUCCAACGUCACUGACUGAUGAGCAACGAAGAUUAAUCGUUUGCAGCACCUGUUGGCAAGAUGAAAAAGACCCGUAACUGCGAGCCAAUCCUUGCGAGAAAAGGAACGGGAAGGAUGCCGC